AUUGAACGCUGGCGGCAGGCCUAACACAUGCAAGUCGAGCGGUAGAGAGAAGCUUGCUUCUCUUGAGAGCGGCGGACGGGUGAGUAAUGCCUAGGAAUCUGCCUGGUAGUGGGGGAUAACGUUCGGAAACGGACGCUAAUACCGCAUACGUCCUACGGGAGAAAGCAGGGGACCUUCGGGCCUUGCGCUAUCAGAUGAGCCUAGGUCGGAUUAGCUAGUUGGUGAGGUAAUGGCUCACCAAGGCGACGAUCCGUAACUGGUCUGAGAGGAUGAUCAGUCACACUGGAACUGAGACACGGUCCAGACUCCUACGGGAGGCAGCAGUGGGGAAUAUUGGACAAUGGGCGAAAGCCUGAUCCAGCCAUGCCGCGUGUGUGAAGAAGGUCUUCGGAUUGUAAAGCACUUUAAGUUGGGAGGAAGGGCAGUUACCUAAUACGUGAUUGUUUUGACGUUACCGACAGAAUAAGCACCGGCUAACUCUGUGCCAGCAGCCGCGGUAAUACAGAGGGUGCAAGCGUUAAUCGGAAUUACUGGGCGUAAAGCGCGCGUAGGUGGUUUGUUAAGUUGGAUGUGAAAUCCCCGGGCUCAACCUGGGAACUGCAUUCAAAACUGACUGACUAGAGUAUGGUAGAGGGUGGUGGAAUUUCCUGUGUAGCGGUGAAAUGCGUAGAUAUAGGAAGGAACACCAGUGGCGAAGGCGACCACCUG
rnacentral:rRNA from 1 species